GGUGGGACCCCCAGCAUUUUGGGUAGUGGGUCAUUCAUUCUUGAACGGGAACUAGGCGAUGACUCAUAACAUUCACCUAUUUCCCCUUUUCCCUAAGCUACUUUGAAUCGCAUUUUCUUACAAGAGACCCGACCUUUCGGAGGGAAGAUUGUUCCUUGUGGCUAGAAGAGUCAUGUUGUUUCACACCAGCAUGCAUGGAAAAGCAUUAGGGGACCACAAGGACAAGAAACACUCCGAAGAGAGAGGAGAAGAAAGCCACGUUGUGGGAGCUGAUGUGAUCCCAGCCUGGCCUUGAACAAGGGGGCCCUUAUGCAGGGAACCUAAUGAGGCCAGAAACUGUUUGGACCACGAAGAAACUUUAGAUUCUGUGGCCCAACCUUCUCAUUUUUAGGGAUGAAGAAAACCAAGACCCAGAGGUGAGAUCUGCAGCGUCCGUCUCCUAACGCUCUAGAAUUGUGGGCUCUAGGUCACGAGUCUGCGUCACGGGAUUCCUCUCCUGCCCACCAGACCCAGCCACAGACUCUGGGCAGGCCAGCCUCACGCGUCACGUGACGGGAGGGAAGGUCCUUGCACACUCAGGUACCCCCCACGGGAGAGGAAGUGCUGAGUGACCCCCGUGUGCAAAUAAAGCUGUUGGACCAAGGUG